rnacentral:rRNA from 1 species
UACGUAGGUGGCAAGCGUUGUCCGGAUUUACUGGGCGUAAAGAGCGCGCAGGCGGUCGUUCAAGUCGCGUGUGAAAGCCCCCGGCUCAACUGGGGAGGGUCACGCGAUACUGAUCGACUCGAAGGCAGGAGAGGGUAGUGGAAUUCCCGGUGUAGUGGUGAAAUGCGUAGAUAUCGGGAGGAACACCAAUGGCGAAGGCAGCUCGCUGGGACGUGACUGACGCUGAGACGCGAAAGCGUGGGGAGCGAACAGG